CAGCCGCCACGGUAAUACAGAGGGUGCAAGCGUUAAUCGGAAUUACUGGGCGUAAAGCGCGCGUAGGUGGUUUGUUAAGUUGGAUGUGAAAGCCCCGGGCUCAACCUGGGAACUGCAUCCAAAACUGGCAAGCUAGAGUACGGUAGAGGGUGGUGGAAUUUCCUGUGUAGCGGUGAAAUGCGUAGAUAUAGGAAGGAACACCAGUGGCGAAGGCGACCACCUGGACUGAUACUGACACUGAGGUGCGAAAGCGUGGGGAGCAAACAGGAUUAGAUACCCCUGUAGUCCCUGUCUCUUAUCU
rnacentral:rRNA from 1 species